rnacentral:rRNA from 1 species
CUUAUCGACUCGCGAAUGCAUUCUNAGAUUNUUUUAUGAUCAUGGCUCAGGACGAACGCUGGCGGNGCAUGCCUAAUACAUGCAAGUCGAGCGAACAGAGAAGGAGCUUGCUCCUUCGACGUUAGCGGCGGACGGGUGAGUAACACGUGGGCAACCUACCUUAUAGUUUGGGAUAACUCCGGGAAACCGGGGCUAAUACCNGAAUAAUCUAUUUCACUUCAUGUGUGAAAUACUGAAAUGACGGUUUCGGCUUGGUCGCUUAUUAAGAUGGGCCCGUUGGCGCAUUAGCUAGUUGGUGAGGUAACGGCUCACCAAGGCGACGAUGCAUGGUUGUCGUCAGCUCGUGUCGUGA